rnacentral:misc_RNA from 1 species
GAUGAAGAACGUAGCGAAAUGCGAUAAGUAAUGUGAAUUGCAGAAUUCAGUGAAUCAUCGAAUCUUUGAACGCACCUUGCGCCCUUUGGACUUCUGAAGGGCAUGCCUGUUUGAGUAUCAUGAACACCUCAACUCCUUAUGGUCUUCCAUGAUGAGCUUGGACUUUGGGGGUUUUGCUGGCCUACAGUCAGCUCCUCUAAAAUAAAUCAGCUUACCGGUGUUUGGUGGGUAUCAUGGGUGUGAUAACUAUCUACGCUCGUGGUUUUCCACCAGGUAACCUUCAGCAGUGGAGGUUCACUGGAGCUCAUAGAUGUCUCUCCUCAGCGAGGACAGCCUUUGAAUGUUUGAUCUCAAAUCAGGUAGGACUACCCGCUGAACUUAAGCAUAUCAAUAAGCGGAGGA